UUUAUGGAGAGUUUGAUCCUGGCUCAGGAUGAACGCUGGCGGCGUGCCUAAUACAUGCAAGUCGAGCGAACGGACGAGAAGCUUGCUUCUCUGAUGUUAGCGGCGGACGGGUGAGUAACACGUGGACAACCUACCUAUAAGACUGGGAUAACUUCGGGAAACCGGAGCUAAUACCGGAUAAUAUUUUGAACCGCAUGGUUCAAAAGUGAAAGACGGUCUUGCUGUCACUUAUAGAUGGAUCCGCGCUGCAUUAGCUAGUUGGUAAGGUAACGGCUUACCAAGGCAACGAUGCAUAGCCGACCUGAGAGGGUGAUCGGCCACACUGGAACUGAGACACGGUCCAGACUCCUACGGGAGGCAGCAGUAGGGAAUCUUCCGCAAUGGGCGAAAGCCUGACGGAGCAACGCCGCGUGAGUGAUGAAGGUCUUCGGAUCGUAAA
rnacentral:rRNA from 1 species